rnacentral:rRNA from 1 species
CGUGACCUCAAAUCAGG